AGAAUCAACGCUGGCGGCGUGCCUAACACAUGCAAGUCGAACGCGAAAGUCUCGAAAGGGGCAAGUAGAGUGGCAAACGGGUGAGUAACGCGUGGGUGACCUGCCUUCGAGCGGGGGAUAACGUUCCGAAAGGGACGCUAAUACCGCAUAACAUCCUGCCUUUGAAGAGGUGGAGAUCAAAGCUGGGGAUCGCAAGACCUGGCACUUGAAGAGGGGCUCGCGUCUGAUUAGCUAGUUGGUGAGGUAACGGCUCACCAAGGCAACGAUCAGUA
rnacentral:rRNA from 1 species